AACGGUAAAACAUCCUAACACUUAAACGAUACAGCACAUCACCAAAUUAUUAAUCAACAAAGCAAAAGUAAGAAGAUAUUCAAAUCAACCACAACCAUUGUCGCAAACCAAACUUACUCUCAAUUUGUAAUCCUAUAUUUCACAAUCCUCUUAUAGAAUCGUAAUUUACGAUUCGCCACACAACACGUCACCAAACUAAUCAACAAAUUGUAAGUAACAAACAAUCCAAAUCAUACUCUACUUGAAAGAUGCCAAAAAGAGGAGAGAGAGGAGAGAGAGGAGAGAGAGAGGGAGGGACCUCUU
rnacentral:lncRNA from 1 species